ensembl:snoRNA SNORA73 Small nucleolar RNA SNORA73 family
CCAACAAGGACAUCCGUGGGAGAUCACUCCCAUGGCUCUGUCUGGGUGGCAUAUGGGAGCGUAGGCCGCUAGGCCUGAGGCAUGCAGUCCCUUUCCACAGCGUUGGAGAGAGUGUCUGUCCCAGCCCUUGACCUGGUGACGACAGCAGCCUAUAUAAUCCUAUACCUUCCCAGAGAGUCCAGUGGACAGUGACUGAGGAGAUAAACCAUGCAGGGUACAUCC